AAAAUAAACGCCGAACGUACAACGUGCGCGAGAGGGAAGAAGGGUGAACCGGGCGGCGAGUUCGAUUCUCUUUCAACCCCACCACCGGCUUUCCCACGGAAUAGCCGCAUGCGCCGUAAAAAAGCACGGCCGCUACGAGUUUCGUUUCACUCUUCGGGGUUCGUCUACCCAUUGCCCGAUAAAAAAGCUCUGCUUGCGCGGCUCUCGUUCGUCACGGACAUACUGUUCGUCCGCGGUUCGCGUCUUCAUCAUCAUCGUUGUCGUUUUCGUCGUUAAAAUGUCAUCGUCGUGGUUAUUAUUGUCGCCGUCGUGCAAAUGCUUCGUCAUUAUCGAUCUUUAUUUCGGGAGAAGAAACGAGACGAAUGAGGAGAUCGAGGAGGAAGAAGAAUGCGGCUCGGUUCCGACGGGGAAACGUAUGUGAGGAAAGAAGUGUGUCCAUACGGGAAUGGACGGACGCGGAUGCGAGAAUGGGAUGAGGGGGUGGGGAGGAUGGUGAGAGAGUGUUAAGAAGAUGAAAAUCCGGCGGAUUCUCCGCAAGCGGCAUCUUUCCGCCCGCCACCUAUGCGUGUGUUCCUCUGCGAUCGUCGUAACCGACGUCCAUGGUGGCUUCCACGUCGGCGAUAAGGGUUGCUUCUCGGUGGAAAACCGUGGGAUGUGGAGGCGCGGUCAUCGAUGGUCGAUUCGCGUGCAUGGUGUACAUGUAAAUAGAAUUUAUAUUUACGGCGCUAUAACCGGAUCGGGCUAAACUACGGUAAGUCGGUGAUUAUUAUUAAACGACGAUAAGCACUUCCAACGCAGAGGUAAGAUUAUUUAAAGAAUAUAAGCAAUAAUUUGUAAGAAAUAUUAAAAUAUUGAAUAUAUAUUAGCCAAUUAUAUUCGACUUGUUACUUAUUUCCUAUUUUAUGGAAAUUGACAUUACGCAAGUAUAUGCAGAAAAAAGUUAAAGUAAAGUAGAACAAAGUAAAAUAUAUCUGAAUUCUUUAUUUAUAAAUAUGUUGUGAUUUUCCAUAAUUACAUUUCUGCAAUUACAAAUUUUAUUUUGCAUCAACGUUAUUAACGAAAUAAGAAAUUGUAGUGUCGAUUUAUGAUUAGAUAUUCUCUUGAAUUCUGCAUAUAGCUUAAGGUUUAUAAAAACAUUUCUAUAUCGAGCUCUGUAAUUAUUAUAUAAAAAUAUUUAAUAUUU